rnacentral:rRNA from 1 species
AUUGAACGCUGGCGGCAGGCUUAACACAUGCAAGUCGAACGAGUGGCGGACGGGUGAGUAAUGCUUGGGAAUCUAGCUUAUGGAGGGGGAUAACUACGGGAAACUGUAGCUAAUACCGCGUACCAUAGGAUGAGCCCAAGUGGGAUUAGGUGGUUGGUGGGGUAAAGGGUCACCAAGGCGACGAUCUCUAGAUGGUCUGAGAGGAUGACCGGCCACACGGGGACGGGGACACGGCCAAGAGUCCUACGGGAGGCAGCAGUGGGGAAUAUUGCGCAAUGGGGGCAACCUGACGCAGUCAGGCCGAGUGAAUGAAGAAGGCCUUCGGGUGGUAAAGUUCUUUCGGUAGCGAGGCGUUAACUACAGAAGAAGCACCGGCUAACUCCGUGCCAGCAGCCGCGGUAAUAC